UACAGCCAAAAUCUCUUUUUGGUCCAGAUGCCCAUUUUGGUAGAAUCGACUCCAGCAAAUGAAAGUGUGAAUUUCAAUAGCCGAAAAGUCCCCCAACUAUCAAGGGUAUAAAAAGGAAUCACAACUCAUUUUCAACUCAAAAUACUUAGGAUUUUCUUCUCUCCUCUCUCUCUCUCAACUAUUGGGGCAUACAAGAAACUCAUUGAAAAGAUUCCUUUGAGUUUUUGAAGAUUUAGAGGUGGAUUUUUUCAUUUAGAAGUGUAGAAGAGUUUAUUCAAGUUUUAAAAUUUUGGUUCUUCCGCCUCCAUAUUUCAAGAAAAUAGGUGCAAGGUUAUUGGACUAGAAGAGUUCUUUGAAGAAAGAGCAUCAAGAGUAGUCUUAGCCCUUCUUUUUGUAUAAUAUAUAGGUAGAUGGACAUAUAAUUUAUGAAUGGAUAAGAUUAAAAGAAUUUGGAAGUAUGUAAUAUUAUUCAAGUAUAAUGAUGUUUAUGUUGUGUAAGCCCUUUUGAGAGUAUGCAUUUGAAACCAUUACAAUUUGGA